AGCAGAUGAUGUGGGUUAUCUGCCUUGAUAAUCUGGAUUAUAGGGCAGUGUAGAAGGGGCCUCAUAUAGAACCUCAUCACACAAUGCAAAUUUAGCAUCCUAGAAGGCUUCUGCCUCAGUUGACCCACGGAGCUCCAAACCACCCAUCACACGAGGUGACCUCACUUCCAGAUUAACUAAGUCAGCUGGUGCAGAAGCUUAACUUCUAGAUCAACUGACACAGAAGCAUCCUAGGACACUGUGCUGCCAACAUGUGAGCCUCCCCAUGUUCUAUAUGGAACAACGAGGCUAUCUGGGUGAAGCCGUGCGAUGACACUUCCCCUUGUAUGAUGGCAAAGCAUCAGCUGGCAGCGAGACAAGGUGCUGGGCACCGGGAUUGCCCAACUGCCCCCUGAUUUGUCAUAGAGGGUGGCGAAUCAGAAUGCUGGACCUCAUCAAUGUGAUGAGAUUCAGAGUUCAGUUCAAAGAAGGAAAUCUGGAUUAUCUGUUUUGAUAAACGAGGUUAUAUAGCAGUGUAGAGCCAGCCCCAGAUGAGAACUGAUUGCUGAAAAAUGACUGCUGAAAAGUGGCUAAAUAAGUGUGAGUUAUCAUGACAUAUCCUCCUGAGGCCUCUUCUACUCUGCCAUAUAAUCCAGAUUAUGAAAGCAGAUAAUCCACAUUAAUGGCAUCAAACUGCAUUAAUUCAACAAUGUCGAUACAAGAUUCCAACUAAUGUCUUCACAAGUAACAUUUUUAUGCCAUCAACAUUUUAUUCUAUAGAGGUCUAGAGCUGGCCUGCAAGCCCUCCCACUUCCACUUACAGCUUUUUUUUGGUGAUGCCUUAAUAUAACAAUACAACAAUGCUGCUCCCUGAAUGCUAGAGGAUUAAAAACGAAUGCAUUCAAGUUUCUUGUUCCUCCUCUUAGCUACUACAAGAGAAUGUUAAUUCACUUUAAUGUCCCACUCUGGUUCGACUAUUCAUGUUGCACAAGUCUGCCCCUCCCAUGUAAUCCUAAACAGCACCACUCCCUUGCCUAACUGCUUUUGAUAUGUGGUUAUUUAAAGUUUUUAAAAUUGCUUGGCUUUUGCUUUGUAUUUUAAUGUUGUAACUUGUACUAUUUUAUGUAUAUGUCAACUGUUGUUUCUAGGGCUUUGUCCCCAUGUGAGCCACCCCGAGUCCCCUUGGGGAGAUGGAGGUGGCAUAUAAGAAAUAAAUUAUAAUUAUUAUAUUAUUAUGUGUUACCAUCCUGCUGGGGCCGGGCUGUGGCGCAGCUGUUGAGCAGCUGCCUUA
rnacentral:lncRNA from 1 species